rnacentral:rRNA from 1 species
CAAUAGCGUAUAUUAAAGUUGUUGCAGUUAAAAAGCUCGUAGUUGGAUUUCGGGGUGGCCUGGCUGGUCCGCCGCAAGGUGAGUGCUGGUCAGCCGCCCUUCCUCUCGAAAGCCCCGACUGCUCUUUACUGCAGUGGUCGGGUAGUUCGGGACGUUUACUUUGAAAAAAUUAGAGUGUUCAAGGCAGGCUAUCGCCUGAAUACAUUAGCAUGGAAUAAUGGAAGAGGACCUCGGUCCUAUUUUGUUGGUUUCUAGGGCCGAAGUAAUGAUUAAGAGGGACAGUUGGGGGCAUUCGUAUUUAAUUGUCAGAGGUGAAAUUCUUGGAUUUAUGAAAGACGAACUAGUGCGAAAGCAUUUGCCAAGGAUGUUUUCAUUAA